AGAGUUUGAUCCUGGCUCAGGACGAACGCUGGCGGCGUGCUUAACACAUGCAAGUCGAACGAGGUCCAAGGGUUAGCAAUAACCUGGAAGAUCUAGUGGCGAACGGGUGAGUAACACGUGAGGAACCUACCCCGGACUCAGGGAUAACAGCCGGAAACGGCUGCUAAUACCUGAUGCCGUCGGAGCAUCACAUGGUGCACUGACGAAAGAAUCUCGGUUCGGGCGGGCCUCGCGGCCUAUCAGCUUGUUGGUGGGGUAACGGCCUACCAAGGCAUCGACGGGUAGCUGGUCUGAGAGGAUGAUCAGCCACACUGGGACUGAGACACGGCCCAGACUCCUACGGGAGGCAGCAGUGGGAAUCUUGCGCAAUGGGCGAAAGCCUGACGCAGCAACGCCGCGUGCGGGAAGAAGGCCUUAGGGUUGUAAACCGCUUUCAGUAGGAACGAAAAUGACGGUACCUGCAGAAGAAGGUGCGGCCAACUACGUGCCAGCAGCCGCGGUGACACGUAGGCACCAAGCGUUGUCCGGAUUUAUUGGGCGUAAAGAGCUCGUAGGCGGUUCAGUAAGUCGGGUGUGAAAACUCUGGGCUUAACCCAGAGCCGCCACCCGAUACUGCUGUGACUUGAGUUCGGUAGGGGAGCAGGGAAUUCCUAGUGUAGCGGUGAAAUGCGCAGAUAUUAGGAGGAACACCGGUGGCGAAGGCGCUGCUCUGGGCCGAUACUGACGCUGAGGAGCGAAAGCGUGGGUAGCAAACAGGAUUAGAUACCCUGGUAGUCCACGCCGUAAACGUUGGGCACUAGGUGUGGGUUCCAACCAACGGAAUCCGCGCCGUCGCUAACGCAUUAAGUGCCCCGCCUGGGGAGUACGGCGGCAACGCUAAAACUCAAAUGAAUUGACGG
rnacentral:rRNA from 1 species